CCAAUAGCGUAUAUUAAAGUUGUUGCAGUUAAAAAGCUCGUCGUUGAAUUUUGGGUUUGGCCGAUUGGUCCGUUCUUGUAACGAGUACUGGUCGGUUGGGCCUCACCGCCUGGUGAUGCGUAAUGUCCUUUAUUGGGUGUUGCGAGUAGCCAGGACUUUUACCUUGAAAAAAUUAGAGUGUUUAAAGCAGGCUUAUGCCGGAAUACAUUAGCAUGGAAUAAUAGAAUAGGACGAUGAUUCUAUUUUGUUGGUUUCUAGGACCAUCGUAAUGAUUAAUAGGGAUAGUUGGGGGCAUUAGUAUUCAAUUGUCAGAGGUGAAAUUCUUGGAUUUAUUGAAGACUAACUACUGCGAAAGCAUUUGCCAAGGAUGUUUUCAUUAAUCAAGAACGAAAGUUAGGGGAUCGAAGACGAUCAGAUACCGUCGUAGUCUUAACCAUAAACUAUGCCGACUAGGGAUCGGGCGAUGUUGUUUCAAUGACUCGCUCGGCACCUUAUG
rnacentral:rRNA from 1 species